AGAGUUUGAUUAUGGCUCAGGACGAACGCUGGCGGCGUGCCUAACACAUGCAAGUCGAGCGGGGACACAUAAGUAGCAAUACGAGUGUGUUCUAGCGGCGGACGGGUGAGUAACGCGUGAGCAACCUGUCCCUUACAGGGGGAUAACGCACCGAAAGGUGCACUAAUACCGCAUGAGACCACAGGUAGGACAUCUACCAGGGGUCAAAGGAGCAAUCCGGUAAGGGGUGGGCUCGCGUCUGAUUAGCUAGUUGGUGAGGUAACGGCUCACCAAGGCAACGAUCAGUAGCCGACCUGAGAGGGUGAUCGGCCACACUGGAACUGAGACACGGUCCAGACUCCUACGGGAGGCAGCAGUGGGGAAUAUUGGGCAAUGGGGCCGAAAGCCUGACCCAGCAACGCCGCGUGAAGGAAGAAGGUUUUCGGAUCGUAAACUUCUAUCCCGGGUGAAGAUAAUGACGGUAGCCCGGAAGGAAGCCCCGGCUAACUACGUGCCAGCAGCUGC
rnacentral:rRNA from 1 species